AUGGGCGCAGCCUGAUCCAGCAAUGCCGCGUGUGUGAAGAAGGCCUUCGGGUUGUAAAGCACUUUUAUCAGGAACGAAAUACCAUUGGUUAAUAACUGGUGGGGCUGACGGUACCUGAGGAAUAAGCACCGGCUAACUUCGUGCCAGCAGCCGCGGUAAUACGAAGGGUGCAAGCGUUAAUCGGAAUUACUGGGCGUAAAGGGUGCGUAGGCGGUUCGUUAAGUCUGUCGUGAAAUCCCCGGGCUCAACCUGGGAAUGGCGAUGGAUACUGGCGAGCUAGAGUGUGUCAGAGGAUGGUGGAAUUCCCGGUGUAGCGGUGAAAUGCGUAGAGAUCGGGAGGAACAUCAGUGGCGAAGGCGGCCAUCUGGGACAACACUGACGCUGAAGCACGAAAGCGUGGGGAGCAAACAGGAUUAGAUACCCUGGUAGUCCACGCCCUAAACGAUGCGAACUGGAUGUUGGUCUCAACUCGGAGAUCAGUGUCGAAGCUAACGCGUUA
rnacentral:rRNA from 1 species